rnacentral:lncRNA from 1 species
AAAAAAAAAACAUUUGGGGUUUGAAACAAAAAGAUGAGGACAAAACACAGGACUGGUGUCUGAGCAAGGUUGAUAUAAAUGUUUAGGCAUAAGAUGCUGCAGAAGUUAGCAAUUGGAUGGAAUAGAUUAUCUGACGAUGACAAUUACCUAAAUUUAAGAUAUUGAAAACUAGGGUUAUCUGAAUUGAUAUUUGAUAGCGAAGUUUAGAGGAAACAAAGGGUUUGAUUAGGGUUUUGGAGGGUAUUCGAGAAGGGAAAGCAUUUUGGAUGCUUUGUGAUAUGAAUGAACAGCAUUAGCAGCAGAACUUGACCUUAUUUAUUAAUGUUUGGUUUUCUCUCUCAGAUGUUGUCUUCAACAUCAGAAUGGCAAUUCUUUCACACGAAUAACAAAGCACUGCACAAUUUCUUCUUUUACAAAGUCUGCAUCUUAUGAUCUUCUCCCUGUCAUCAGUCAAACUUCCUCAGCUUAUUAUUAUUAUUGCACCCAAUUCCACUUCAACUUCUCACCCUUUGCUUUUCCAACCAAAUUUCACUACCUCAUUUCCUCAGGAUAAUGUCACUCAUGCAAAAUCAACUUCUUUAGGUUUUAUGGAGAAAAUAUAACACUAAUCAAAUCUUAAUUCAAUCAUAUAAAAACUUCUUUUAGGUUUACUGAACAAAGUUAAGAAAAUUAAAAAUCCAACACCAAUCAAAUCUGAAUUUAAUCGUAUAAAAGAUUAAUAUUAUUUUCAAAACGAC